CCUACGGGUGGCAGCAGUUGGGAAUCUUGGACAAUGGGGGAAACCCUGAUCCAGCCAUGCCGCGUGAGUGAUGAAGGCCUUCGGGUUGUAAAACUCUUUCGACGGGGACGAUAAUGACGGUACCCGUAGAAGAAGCUCCGGCUAACUUCGUGCCAGCAGCCGCGGUAAUACGAAGGGGGCUAGCGUUGUUCGGAAUUACUGGGCGUAAAGCGCGCGCAGGCGGUCUUCCAAGUCAGUGGUGAAAGCCCGGAGCUCAACUCCGGAACUGCCAUUGAAACUGUUAGACUUGAGGAUGAGAGAGGUGAGUGGAAUUCCCAGUGUAGAGGUGAAAUUCGUAGAUAUUGGGAAGAACACCGGUGGCGAAGGCGGCUCACUGGCUCAUUACUGACGCUCAGGCGCGAUAGCGUGGGGAUCAAACAGGAUUAGAUACCCCAGUAGUC
rnacentral:rRNA from 1 species